rnacentral:pre_miRNA from 1 species
CAACUACCCCCUCUGUCCCAAAAUUCUUGUCUUCGAUUUGUCUAGAUACGGAUGUAUCUAAUACUAAAAUGUGACUUGAUACAUCCGUAUCUAGACAAAUCUAAGACAAGA